rnacentral:rRNA from 1 species
GAUGAACGCUGGCGGCGAGCCUAAUACAUGCAAGUCGAGCGAACGGACGAGAAGCUUGCUUCUCUGAUGUUAGCGGCGGACGGGUGAGUAACACGUGGAUAACCUACCUAUAAUACUGGGAUAACUUCGGGAAACCGGAGCUAAUACCGGAUGAUAUUUUGAACCGCAGUGUGCAAAAGUGAAAGACGGUCUUGCUGUCACUUAUAGAUGGAUCUGCGCUUCAUUAGCUAGUUGGUAAGGUAACGGCUUACCAAGGCAACGAUGCAUAGCCGACCUGAGAGGGUGAUCGGCCACACUGGAACGGAGACACGGUCCAGGCUCCUACGGGAGGCAGCAGUAGGGAAUCUUCCGCAAUGGGCGAAAGCCUGACGGAGCAACGCCGAGUCAGUGAUGAAGGUCUUCGGAUCGUAAAACUCUGUUAUUAGGGAAGAACAUAUGUGUAAGUAACUGUGCACAUCUUGACGGUAACUAAUCAGAAAGCCACGGCUAACUACGUG